ensembl:snRNA U6 U6 spliceosomal RNA
GUGCUCACUUUGGCAGCACAUAUACUUAAAUUGGAAAGAUACAGAGAUUAGCAUGGCCCCUGUGCAAGGAUGACGUGCAGAUUCGUGAAGUAUUCCAUAUUUAA